rnacentral:rRNA from 1 species
AUACAAGAUGGUGUUUCACUUUCGCAUGUUAUUGAAACUAAAGAUUUAUCGGUAUCGGAUGGGGAUGCGUGACAUUAGAUAGUAGGCGGGGUAACGGCCCACCAAGUCUACGAUGUCUAGGGGUUCUGAGAGGAAGGUCCCCCACACUGGAACUGAGACACGGUCCAGACUCCUACGGGAGGCAGCAGUGAGGAAUAUUGGUCAAUGGUCGGAAGACUGAACCAGCCAUGCCGCGUGCAGGAUGACGGCUCUAUGAGUUGUAAACUGCUUUUGUAUGAGGG